rnacentral:rRNA from 1 species
CAGCCGCCGCGGGAAUACAGUGGGUGCGAGCGUUAAUCGGAUUUACUGGGCGUAAAGCGUGCGUAGGCGGCUUCUUAAGUCGGAUGUGAAAUCCCUGAGCUUAACUUAGGAAUUGCAUUCGAUACUGGGAAGCUAGAGUAUGGGAGAGGAUGGUAGAAUUCCAGGUGUAGCGGUGAAAUGCGUAGAGAUCUGGAGGAAUACCGAUGGCGAAGGCAGCCAUCUGGCCUAAUACUGACGCUGAGGUACGAAAGCAUGGGGAGCAAACAGGAUUAGAUACCCGCGUAGUCCCUGUCUCUUAUAC